rnacentral:misc_RNA from 1 species
AUUCAAUUUCCAGUACCCACAUGGUAGCCCACAGCCAUCUACAACUUCAGUUUCAGAUAAACUGACA